rnacentral:lncRNA from 1 species
UGUAUUUUAAAAGCUUUUAUUAAAGAUCCAAGAUAAAAAAAAAAAAGAAGAGAAAAAUCUGUUAAAGUAUUUGAAAUGUAAAGUAGGGCUUUCAUUUUAACAGCAUCCCUGAUUCCUUUUGUCUCUUUCUGCAUAGAGGUUUCACAAGAAUAUACACAGCUUGACAGACUUCCAGAUGGUGUUAAAGAAGGUAACAUCCGAUUGAGAGGAAAAAGAAACAGUUUAACUGAGACGGGCGAGAGCUGCUGGACUCUGACCUGCUGCUUUGCAGAACCAGGUACACGACGAGGGAGAAGGUGGGCCACGAGGGUGCUGGUGCUGGAGCUGCCACCUCUGCUCGAGGACAGGCACACGUGGCACUGCCAGGCCCCCGAGCCCGGCCCUUGGACAGUGCUGCUGCUGGCCACGCACCCCGUGCCGCAGGGCUGCAAGAAGGCAGGAGACAGGAGCGGAGAAAGAGCAGGGAAGGAGCGGAGCACACAAGGCAGGACAGCGGCUGCAGCGAGUGCCCAUGCCAAAGGCGGUGGGACAGGGCAGUGAGAACUGUGAGCAUCGGCCCUUUCACCUCCCCGCCACCUCUCCCAGCUCUCCCAGCGGCUGCCUACCAUGAGUGUGUCCUGGACCCGCAGCCGUGGUGUGUCCAGGUCUGACUGGGGGUCCCCCACCACUGCAGUGUCCCAUGGCUGAGGCAGUACCGUCUCCCCAGCAUUUCCAAUGGGAAGGUUUGCUUCCAGCUUCCUCCCUGAAGCCUGCAGGGAAGGGAAGGGGAUCUCUGUGCAUCUGGCUGGAGUUCCCUUAACAAAGCCCUUCCCCUCUUCUGAAAAAUGUGUUCCUUGUUUUGGCUCCCACAGCCCUCAAACACACCAGCUUCUCACCACUGAAUUUCCAGCAGAACAGCAACCCCACAGGCAGGCUCUGGAUUCGGUCACGCUGCAGACGGGGGUGCAGCUCUCCAGAUGUCGGCAGGGGAUGGGUGACUGCUGCGGUGAGGGCUGAGCCUGUUUCUGCUCCCUGUGCUGCUGGGGAGCUGCAGCUGGAGCCGAUCCACUGCCCAUGCCAUAUCCUGCCAUCGCCCGACCCAUGACAGAGGCCACGGGCCCGCGGUGGGUGCCCGAGGGGCCCUGUGAGCCGGAGCAUCUCCCACCCCCGUGACCCCCCUGCCCACAGCAGCAGCCGCUGGCUCUGUGGGGUGAUCCCAGCCAGGCAGGAGCCGGUCCCUGCCCUGGGAACAGGGGCUCGGUGGGGAUGCUGCUCUUCUGGAGCUGGGGUGACAGGAGCAGGCACCAAGGAACACUCCUGCUGCUGUAACAAGAAGCGAUAGAUUAAAAAGCUAGUUAAAAAUUCAUGCAAGAGAGCAGAGUUUCCCAAGCAUAUCAGAGUUAAUAUUUAUAAAGGGGAUUGUUGCUCAGUCUCAAUUAUCCUAAAAGCUCGGUACAAUUGAUGCAUUGGAGAAACCACGAACACAGGCA